rnacentral:siRNA from 1 species
GGCGGAACUAUGUUGAAGAUUAG